UAAGUGAUGGUGGCAGGAACAUUUCCCCAGCACCUCUCGGUGCCCUCAAUUCGGGACAGCCUCCUAUUCUUAGAGAUUUGAGCAUAUUCAUUGCUUCAAAUGAUAUUGAUGCAGACUCCAGAUGUAUACAGUUGUCGAUGUGCAGGUUUCUUAGAGCUACCAUGUGCUGCUUCUGCUCAAGAAAGCUGUCAUCCAGGGAACAUAAGCAUGGGCAACUGCUGAUAGCAACCUCCUGCAAUUGGGCUAAAAUUGUUUCAUUGCUCUCGCUGCAUAGCUUGCCCAUCCUUGGAAGUUUAGUCCAAUUAACAUUUUUUAUUUUAAAUGACAUCAGACUAGGAGGUAGAAGAGGUAAUUCCUGCAGUUUGGGGCAUUGUUUUAUUUGCAGAUAUAGAAGCGAUGAUGGCAGGAACUUUUCUCCAGUACCUCUCAGUGCCCUCAAUUUCGGACAGCGUCUGAUAUAUAGAUAUCUGAGCAUGAUCAUUGCAUCAAAUGGUAUCGAUGCAGACUCCAGAUGUAUACAGUUGUUGAUGUGCAGGUUUCUUAGAGCUACCAUGUGCUGCUUCUGCUCAAGAAAGCUGUCUUCCAGGGAACUUAAGCAUGGACAAUCAUUGAUAACAACCUCCUGCAAUUGGGCUAAAAUUGUUUCAUUGCUCUUGCUGCAUAGCUUGCCCAUCCUUGGAAGU
rnacentral:lncRNA from 1 species